rnacentral:rRNA from 1 species
CCUACGGGUGGCAGCAGUGAGGAAUAUUGGUCAAUGGGCGCGAGCCUGAACCAGCCAAGUCGCGUGAAGGAAGACUGCCCUAUGGGUUGUAAACUUCUUUUGUCGGGGAGUAAAAUUCACUACGUGUACUGCUCUGCGUGUACCCUAUGAAUAAGCAUCGGCUAACUCCGUGCCAGCAGCCGCGGUAAUACGGAGGGUUCGAGCGUUAUCCGGAUUUAUUGGGUUUAAAGGGUGCGUAGGCGGGAUGUUAAGUCCGGUGUUAAAGUUUGCGGCUCAACCGUAACAUUGCAGUUGAUACUGGCAGUCUUGAGUAAAGGAGAGGUAGGCGGAAUGCGUGGUGUAGCGGUGAAAUGCUUAGAUAUCACGAAGAACUCCGAUUGCGAAGGCAGCAUACUGGACUGUAACUGACGCUGAUGCUCGAAAGUGUGGGUAUCAAACAGGAUUAGAUACCCCUGUAGUC